UAAUAAUAAAAUUUUUCAUGUAUUAAUUUAAUUAUAUUCAUUUGUUCUUUAAUUUGUUGUUUCUUUAACUAUCGAUAUAUAAUAAAACACUUAUUUACUGAGACCUCGGGGAAGCAGUGUGUUUUGUGGACCCUCGAUGUUUCCCUCGGCUUCACCUCGAGAAACAUCGACGGUCUCAGGUCCACCAAACACACUGUUUCCCUUGGUCUCAGUAAAUAAGUGAUAAUUGUCAAAUCAAACAAUUUAAACCCAAACCCUCAAGACAAAUUUGAAAAAGAACGUAUUACCCAAAAUAGUUUCAAUUUAUGUUGCCCAGCUAGUGGGGCAGCACAUUGUCAUGCAUACUCAUAUGAUCUUCAAGUUCAGUGGCAAUUUCAAACUCAGCAUCGCAGACACAACAGAUAUAACCAAUACCAGUUGCUUCUCUUGCUUCUAAUUCCUUACAAACAUCACAUUGGUAAGACGUACCAUGGUCUUUGGCCUUGUGCUGAUAUAAACUUUCAAUAUCAGGGAACUGUUUGUUGCAUUUGACACAGUCAAAAUGAUCAUCACUCUGUAUCUCACUAGCAUGUCCUUGACCUUGAAUAAUUUUUUUGCCACAGGUGUGGCACAAUAAUAAGCCAUCUCUUAAGUGUGAUCUCCAGUGACGUUUGAGACUUUGCCUUUGUGCGAAUGUUUUCUUACAUUUAGCACACUCAAGACUCGGCUUUCUCUUGUGCGCUGAUAUUUUAUGUUGUGUUAAAUUGUGAGAUUCUGAAAAUCUCUUAUUGCAAACAUCACAUUCAUAAGGUUUGUCUCUAACGUGUGUUUUCUUAUGCCUAGCUAAAUGCCCUGAUUGUAAAAAUGUCUUCUUACAAAUAUCGCAUUCAUAAGGUUUGUCUCUGGUAUGGGUUCUUUUAUGCUUGGUUAAAUUGGCAGAGCAUGAAAAUCUCUUCUUACAAACAUCACAUUCAUAAGGUUUGUCUCCAGUGUGUGUUCUUUUAUGGGCAGCUAAGUUGCUUGACUGCAAACAUCGUUUGUUGCAAAUAUCACAUUCAUAAGGUUUGUCUCCAGUGUGUGUUCUCUUAUGAACGGCUAAGGCGCUUGAGUGUGAAAAUCUUUUGUUGCAAACAUCACAUUCAUAAGGUUUGUCUCCAGUGUGUGUUCUUUUAUGAACCAAUAACACAUCAGAUCGCGAAAAUCUCUUGUUGCAAACAUCACAUUCAUAAGGUUUGUCUCCAGUGUGUGUUCUCUUAUGACGUGCUAAGUGGCUUGAUCGCAAAAAUCUUGUGUUGCAAACAUCACAUUCAUAAGGUUUGUCCCCAGUAUGUGUUCUUUUAUGUCUAGUUAAGUCACCUGACUGCGAAAAUCUUUUGUUACAAACAUCACAUUCAUAACGUUUGUCUCCAGUGUGUGUUCUCUUAUGAACCACCAAUUGGCUUAUUCGUAAAAACCUUUUAUUGCAAACAUCACAUUUCCUAGACAUGGUUUCAGCCUUUCAGCUUUUGAUCUUUCCCACGUAUGCUCUGACGCACGCUCAAAUUUCGAUUAAAAAUAUCACCCAACCGUUCCCUCGAGUCUGUCUUUAUUGAAUCUUUAUAAUACUUCGGUUCUUACACAAUUUCUGAUCAUAAAAAUGAGAAUAUUCAGAGACACAGUUUGCAAACAACACGAGUAUCAAAAUGGCGCCCAAAUAGAAUUCAUGUGGUGUUUCCACUUCACAAAAACAGAAAUUAUUG
rnacentral:lncRNA from 1 species